rnacentral:rRNA from 1 species
GACAGAGGGUGCAAACGUUGUUCGGAAUUACUGGGCGUAAAGCGAGUGUAGGCGGUUCGGUAAGUCGGAUGUGAAAGCCCCGGGCUCAACCCGGGAAGUGCACUCGAUACUGCCGAGCUAGAGUAUCGGAGAGGUUGGUGGAAUUCUCGGUGUAGAGGUGAAAUGCGUAGAGAUCGGGAGGAACACCAGUGGCGAAGGCGGCUUGCUGGGACGGUAUUGACGCUGAGACGCGAAAGCGUGGGGAGC